AAAAAAAGACAGCUGCAGGUGUUUACUCCAAAUGCCAUUCAGUGUGUGUCUAGACCAGCAAAGAGCAUUUUCUUAGCUGAACAAAAUAUUCAGAACACCAAAUGAGCACGAUGCUGGGUAGUGCUGAGCCCCUGCAGCUCGUGGGGUUCAGAGGGAUGCAGCAGACCUGGCUAAUGGCACAUGAAUGCAGACAGGCACAGACAAACGUGUGAGACCUGCCUUCUGAGGCAUUUUGCACCACUCCCAAAGAAGAUAACUGAAUUACAGACGUUUGGAUCUGCUAGAGCACUGGCUUAAUGGUCUGGCCGCUUCCAUACAGCAAAUAUGAUGCUGACAGCCUGGGCUCAUUUUGACUGCUAGGGGUUGCCUGAAGAAGUGUCCCAUCUUCCCAUGGUGUGGGUGAGCUACCUUGGACCAGGCCCUGGUGGCUGGAAAACAACAGCAGAUGACUCUAGGUGAGCACUGGAAUAUGCAACUGACAAAGCCCCAUGGAAGUCUUCACCUUCUGUCUUUGAAAGUGUGCUGUCUGCCUGUCUUCAAGGAAUGGCUGCAGCAAACAC
rnacentral:lncRNA from 1 species